rnacentral:rRNA from 1 species
GACAGAGGGGGCAAGCGUUGCUCGGAAUUACUGGGCGUAAAGGGCGCGUAGGCGGGAUGACAAGUCGGUCGUGAAAUCCCUCGGCUCAACUGAGGAACGUCGAUCGAUACUGCUGUUCUUGAGGAUUGCAGAGGAGACUGGAAUUCCCGGUGUAGCGGUGAAAUGUGUAGAGAUCGGGAGGAACACCGGUGGCGAAGGCGGGUCUCUGGGCAAUUCCUGACGCUGAGGCGCGAAAGCGUGGGGAGCAAACGGG